GGUUAAGUUACUAAGGGCACAUGGUGGAUGCCUUGGCACAAGAAGGCGAAGAAGGACGCGGCUACCUGCGAAAAGCUACGGUGAGACGGAAGCAGUCUCCGACCCGUAGAUCUCCGAAUGGGGCAACCCAAAUGAGGUAAUACUCAUUUAUCUCUACCUGAACACAUAGGGUAGUUGAGGCUAACCCAGGGAACUGAAAUAUCUAAGUACCUGGUGGAAGAUAAAACAAUAGUGAUUUCCUGAGUAGUGACGAGCGGAAGGGAAAGAGUCUAAACCGACCAAUCUGUUAAUGGUGGCAACCUUAGGAUUGGCGGGGUCGAGGGACAUAUUUAGAGUCUAUUGCCAAUGACUCGAAGAGUAAAAAAUCGUAAUAUUAGUUGAAUGACCUGGGAAGGUCAACCAUAGAAAGUGACAGUCUUGUAAGCGAAAAUACUACGACUCUUUGAAAUAUGUUCCCAAGUACCACGAAAUAAGUGGAAGUUUGUGGGAAUCCGGGAGAACCAUCUCCUAAGACUAAAUACUCUCUUGUGACCGAUAGUGAACCAGUACCGUGAGGGAAAGGUGAAAAGAACCCUUAUUAAGGGAGUGAAAUAGUACCUGAAACCAUGUGCUUACAAACGGUUGGAGUCCCGAUUUAUCGGGAUGACAGCGUGCCUUUUGGAUAAUGAGCCUACGAGUUACUCGUCUGUUGUUGGUUAAGUUCUUCAGGAACGUAGCCUUAGCGAAAGCAAGUCCUAACAGGGCGUAUAAAAUAACAGGCGGUAGACGCGAAACCGGGUGAUCUACCCUUGGUCAGGAUGAAGUGAGGGUAAAACCUCAUGGAGGUCCGAACUAGUGUGGGUUGAAAACCGCUUGGAUGAACUGAGGGUAGGGGUGAAAGGCUAAUCAAACUCGGAAAUAGCUCGUUUUCCUCGAAAUAGCUUUAGGGCUAGCCUCGGACUAUAGUAUUAUGGAGGUAGAGCACUGAUUGGGCUAGGGCUGUCACAACGGUACCAAACCCAGACAAACUCCGAAUUCCAUUAAUAUGUUCUCCGGGAGUCAGGCUGCGAGGGAUAAGCUCCGCGGCCAAGAGGGGAACAACCCAGACCAUCAACUAAGGCCCCCAAGUCACAGUUAACAGAUAAAGGAUGUUGAGUUGCUUAGACAACUAGGAUGUUGGCUUAGAAGCAGCCAUUCAUUUAAAGAGUGCGUAAUAGCUCACUAGUCAAGCGACUCGGCGUCGACAAUAAACGGGACUUAAACUGUGCGCCGAAGUUAUGGAAUAGAAUUAAUUUUUUAUUGGUAGAGGAACAUUGUAACAGCAGUGAAGGUGUAUCGUGAGGUAUGCUGGAGCGGUUACAAAAGAAAAUGUAGGCAUAAGUAACGAUAAAACAGAUGAGAAAUCUGUUCACCGCAAGUCUAAGGUUUCCUGAGCUACGUUAAUCGACUCAGGGUUAGUCGGGUCCUAAGCUGAGGCCGAAAGGCGUAGGCGAUGGGUAACGGGUUAAUAUUCCCGUACCGGGUAAAGACUGUUUGACUGUAAGGAGUGACGCAAAAGCGUAAGGUCAGCCAACUGGUGGAUCAGUUGGUUUAAGGUGGUAGGCUGAGAGGUAGGCAAAUCCGCUUCUCAUUAAGGCCGAGAGCCGAAUACGGGAGCAUAUAGCUCGAAGUGGCCCCAAGCAUGUUGCCGAGAAAAACUUCGUACAGGAGGUCUUUGUCCGUCCGUACCGCAAACCGACACAGGUAGACGGGAUGAGUAUUCUAAGGUGCUCGAGUGAGCCGUAGCUAAGGAACUCGGCAAAUUAACCCCGUAACUUCGGGAUAAGGGGUGCCCCUUUUGGUGAAUUAUUCACUAAGUAAACUAAGGGGGGCCGCAGUGAAAUGGCCCAAGCGACUGUUUAACAAAAACACAUGACUCUGCGAAGUCAAUCAAGACGAUGUAUAGGGUCUGACACCUGCCCGGUGCCGGAAGGUUAAGAGGAGAGGUCAGCGCAAGCGAAGCUUUGAAUCGAAGCCCCGGUAAACGGCGGCCGUAACUAUAACGGUCCUAAGGUAGCGAAAUUCCUUGUCGGGUAAGUUCCGACCUGCACGAAUGGUGUAACGAUUUGGGCGCUGUCUCAGCUACGGGCUCGGUGAAAUUGUGGUACCGGUGAAGACGCCGGUUACCCGCAUAUGGACGGAAAGACCCCGUGCACCUUUACUGCACCCUAAUAUUGGGUUCGGUUAAAGCAUGUGUAGGAUAGGUGGGAGACUAUGAAGCUGGUACGCUAGUAUCGGUGGAGUCAACGGUGAAAUACCACCCUUGUUUUAAUUGGAUUCUAACCUCGAUCCGUGAAUCCGGGUCAGGGACAGUGUUAGGCGGGUAGUUUGACUGGGGCGGUCGCCUCCUAAAAUGUAACGGAGGCUCUCAAUGGUUCCCUCAGCAUGGUCGGUAAUCAUGCGAAGAGCGUAAACGUAUAAGGGAGCUUGACUGCGAGACAUACAGGUCGAGCAGGAGCGAAAGCUGGAGUUAGUGAUCCGACGGCUGCGCGUGGAAGUGCCGUCGCUCAAAGGAUAAAAGGUACGCCGGGGAUAACAGGCUGAUCUUACCCAAGAGUUCAUAUCGACGGUAAGGUUUGGCACCUCGAUGUCGGCUCAUCGCAUCCUGGGGCUGGAGAAGGUCCCAAGGGUUUGGCUGUUCGCCAAUUAAAGCGGUACGUGAGCUGGGUUCAGAACGUCGUGAGACAGUUCGGUCCCUAUCCUAUGCGGGCGCAGGAUAUUUGAGAAGGGUCGCUCUUAGUACGAGAGGACCGGAGUGAACGUACCUCCAGUACGCCAAUUGUCACGCCAGUGGCAUCGUUGGGUAGCUGCGUACGGUCGUGAUAAGCGCUGAAAGCAUCUAAGCACGAAACACGCUUCAAGAUGAGAUAUCCCUCCUUCGGGACUGAAGGCUCCUCGGAGAUGACGAGGUUGAUAGGCUGCAGGUGUAAGUGUAGUAAUACAUUCAGCUGAGCAGUACUAAUAAGCCGUGAGACUUGCCAUU
rnacentral:rRNA from 1 species